GAAGGGGUUGUGGCCCUUCGGAGUCGCCUGUCGGGUGGGAGACUCCAAACCACCUCAUGCUGCGUUGGUUGAAAACCGUCGUGGCGAGCGAUGAGGAAAAGGCACUCGUUGAAGGGGGUGGGU
rfam:Saccharothrix sp. ALI-22-I Contig24, whole genome shotgun sequence.